rnacentral:rRNA from 1 species
CAGCCGCCACGGUAAUACGAAGGGGGCAAGCGUUGUUCGGGUUUACUGGGCGUAAAGCGUACGUAGGCGGAUAUUUAAGUCAGGGGUGGAAUCCCGAGGCUCAACCUCGGAACUGCCUUUGAUACUGGGUAUCUUGAGUCCGAGAGAGGUGAGUGGAACUCCUAGUGUAGAGGUGAAAUUCGUAGAUAUUAGGAAGAACACCAGUGGCGAAGGCGGCUCACUGGCUCGGAACUGACGCUGAGGUACGAAAGCGUGGGGAGCAAACAGGAUUAGAUACCCCAGUAGUCCCUGUCUCUUAUAA